GCCUCCGUAGCUCAGUUGGUAGAGCACCCGCCUUGUAAGCGGACGGUCGCGGGUUCGAAUCCUGUCGGAGGCUCCA
rnacentral:tRNA from 1 species